rnacentral:rRNA from 1 species
CGCUGGCGGCAUGCCUUACACAUGCAAGUCGAACGGCAGCACGGAGCUUGCUCUGGUGGCGAGUGGCGAACGGGUGAGUAAUAUAUCGGAACGUACCCAGGAGUGGGGGAUAACGCAGCGAAAGUUACGCUAAUACCGCAUACGUCCUAAGGGAGAAAGUGGGGGAUCGCAAGACCUCAUGCUCAUGGAGCGGCCGAUAUCUGAUUAGCUAGUUGGUGGGGUAAAGGCCUACCAAGGCAACGAUCAGUAGCUGGUCUGAGAGGACGACCAGCCACACUGGAACUGAGACACGGUCCAGACUCCUACGGGAGGCAGCAGUGGGGAAUUUUGGACAAUGGGGGCAACCCUGAUCCAGCAAUGCCGCGUGAGUGAAGAAGGCCUUCGGGUUGUAAAGCUCUUUUGUCAGGGAAGAAAAGGUCGCAGCUAAUAUCUGUGGCUCAUGACGGUACCUGAAGAAUAAGCACCGGCU